GAUAGCAGCUCACCGGCGUACACACGGAUCCAUCACGGCAGGGAAAACGCAGUUUGGAGGCUGCCGGUGAUGCCGCUGCUGCAGCGUUUGGUCCGUCGAGACGCGGGAUGAGGGAGGUGGGGGUGUCGGUGGUGGUGGUGGUGAUGUUGGUGGGGGUGGGGGCAUCCGAGGGCCCACGACGAAACACUCAGCUCUGCAAAUGAACUCAUCGGACCCGAAAUCACGGUCUCAUGAGCAAACGGUGGUUGAUGAAUCAUUAUGCGCACAGAGACGCAACAUGCGCGCGCGUGAGUGUGUUUUAUUGAGGAGUGACGCUGUUUGAUGAUUCAAGGAGAGAGGGUAAUGCCCAGUAGCACAAGAAUUAAGGAUGGCUGAUUGGAUGGGACCAUGACUAAUAACUCUGCAUCUGAUCCAAGAGUGAAUAUCCAAAGGGGCACAGAGGCAGCCAGCUGUUAUGUUCUAAUGAAAUUCUGGAACCUGAGCUGCAACUUGAAGAAAUCACAAAUGUGCUGCAUUGAUCUAUGAAGACACUGCAAAAAAAAAAAAAAAAAAAAAAAGUCUCUACAGAAGAGAAAAUGUCUCAGUUGCCUGUGGAGGAGUCACGUUUUACAUCAGGGUUUACAUAAUCUUUGCUAUUUUGUUUUGGGGAAAAAUAAUAGUUUGAUUUUUUAUUAAAUAACUGUACAUGAUUGAGCGAUCUGCAACAUUGUAAAGAAAA